AAGCUAAAUUCAAUGAACCAUCAUGGCUAACAGAUGGAGCUACGUGUCAGCACCAGAAAUGGUUAAUGGGUAUAGCUGGAAGAAAUGGUCAACAGAUGUAGCCAGCGGUUGACCAUUUGCUAACAAACUGGUGUUGUAACAGACAAGGCCAGAAUGAAGAGGGAAGUCAUUUAAGAUGCUAGUUAACCUAGCACCCUAUACAGUAGUAAGAACAGCAAUUAUUAACAAUCCCAGUUGACGGUUGCAAUCUUUAAGCUAUAGUAAACAUGAAAACACGAGGGAAUAACCAAUGAUGACAGCUAAACAGACAAGAUUUCAGUGGAUGAAUCUCAGUGAGAAACCCAACACCAAAGUGCUACAACAUGUCUACAUGUCUAUAAAGGACAACUGUUGUCUAUAUCGUCAGCUUUGAGUCCCGCUGACUGUCAACCAUGGUCGGAGACUGUCUUAGUGACUAACAAAUGUGGCUAAUAGACGUAGCUAGCAAACAGGGGUUGUACAUUUAGCUGCCCAAGGUAAAUAGGCGAACAGCUCUUAGGUAAUGUUGUCUUGUUUCUCUUUAAUUCAUGACUGUUUUCUUUGUGUUAUUAUCAUUGUUAUCUCCUUUAAUUACUGUACCAGUGUUACAUGUUUCACCUCUUACGUCUCCACUGUGUUUGUGUGAACGCCCCCUGCAGUUUUAAAAUGGAGCCUGAGGCCACAAAUCAGUGUGAUCACAAAUCAUUGCAUCUGCCCGCAGUUGCACACACAUACACACAUAUACACAAACACAUUAAAUGUAACCUUACAUGUGCAGUUGCGCAUGUGUGUAGGUCAGUGCUGUUAUAGCGUCACCAUGAUGAAUAUUAAGUGAACUGUCACAGUGAUUAAUGAGUGUCCUCCACUGGACUCUGUGUAUGUGUGUGUGUGUGUGUGUGUUCAUUCUGUGUCCACCCCUUCCACAUUGCAGCUACAUCUAGCUACAGCCUUCAAAAUGAGACACUACCAAUGUUACUCUUUGUAGCCAGAUCUGUGAGCAAUGUCUGUUAAAUAUGGUUAAAUAAGUACCGUUUUCAUUUGGAAUCCCUGCAGUCAUUGUGAAUGGGUUACUCAGAGUGUGCACUGGUGUGUCCAUCUGUACUGUUUUGCCCUCUGACAGUGUCUUCUCUUUCUCCUUCCAUCCUCAGGUUGUUUCAGCCUUUGAUGCAGUAAAUGUUUAUGAGUUCAAAAUAGAACCAGGAGCUGGCAGCUGUGACAAAACAAUGGUCAACAUUCGGUGUGAACACACUUAUCGCUUCAUGUCGAGGACAGGUACUCUACACCGUCCAAAAACACCUUGAUUUCAGACAGACAAAGAUUUAGGAACGACAGCCAAUGGAGGCCCCACAGUGCUGACUCCUCAUCUGCCUGAGGACUUCAUCAAUAAGUGGUCACUGGAUCAUCAGCUGCUUCACAUUUGACCUGCAGGUCAGGGGUCAGUCAAUAUUGAAGAACUGGAGAUGAGAGCAUUCAGCAUCACACUGGUGCAAUGACCAGAGGAACCUGCUCACUCCACCCCAGAGACCGUGUAAAGAACACAAAAAAACCAAAAACAUUUCAUAUCAAAGCCCUGUGGUGUGGCUGAUCAUGAUAUGCUGACACUUUCUGGAAUGCACCACUGCCACCUUCUGGUAAGAAUGAAAGGGAAAAAGAGAAAACACGUAAUAUUAUUGUAUGGAAAAACACUUAUAUCUUUGAAGUCACUGCUUGUCCACAGACCUGGAAGAGUGAGUGGUUUGUAAGCUUCAGUUUUCUGUUACUCUAACCAAUAUCUAACAAUGAGGCGAGCCGGUUCCAUAUAAGACAGACUUGAGAUGAGUUUUCUGUUCGGCCACUAGAAUCUAUUUUUGCUCUUUUUCCCCACUGGCAGCUAUAAUCUCGCUGAGCGCCCCCUGCUGCCGCACAGUGUAGAGUAACAUUCAAAAUAUGUCUCAGUAAUGCAGACACAUACUGAGUAAUUUUAUUGCAGCUGUCUGUCAGAGGUCAGCUGUGGAUGUCUUAUGUGACAUUUGGCCCAGACAGAGUUACAGCAGAACCUGAACUGACUCCA